GGAAAAAUAUGUGUACCAACUGGUUACAUGAGCAUCAUUAUAUGUUUUUGUAGGUUGGAGAAAGUAACCUUGGUGACAAGCAAUUGCAGUCAGCAACAGAAACUAGCAUGCCUUCAUGUGCUCUUGUCUCAACCUUCUCAUACUGAGUAUUUUUUGAUAACAUCCCUCAUCUACAGUCACGGUUUACAUAGAAGAAAACUAUUCUGAACUUGAUCUCCAUCUAUUGCUUGCUUUGCAGACAUAUUUCCUACAUCUCAGUAUAUUAGAGCUUGGUUUUCAGAAGAUGGUCAGAGUACAUUCUGUCCUUUAUCUUCAAUCAUGAAUAGUGUGGGAAAUUGUUUUGUGACACACAUGUUUUUGUUCAUGUGUUGGUACAAAUGUUUAUUUGCAGAUUGUGUUGUAUGUAUACAGGUAGUAUGGUUAUAUUAAUACUGUAUCAUAAGAUUAAUUAAUUUUUCAAGUAAUGCUAUUAUUGUACAAGUAUUAAGUAUUUGCACUAGUUCAGCAUCCCGUGGUUCCAACAUCGACCUGGAUCGCCUUGGAUUUACGGAACGUAAAUAAAUACCAUAAGUACAAAUUCAAACUGCCGUUCUGUUUCUAGUGAAUUAUGCACAGGUAGCAGCACAUUAAUCAUGUAGCGACGGUAGCGACCGUAGCGACGACGGUCCCAAAUAAUAACGUUGGAGUUACGUGAGCUUAGGUGUCUUGUCUGCAGCAAUUGGCUGUGGCUUUCAGUCAACUGUUAUGGUCGUUAUGGUAUUGUAAAGCGAGUAAAGAGGUUUAGUGUGAAUUUGUUGCUGCUUUCGGAAGGAAUAACCUGUUAAAUCCUGUUUCUGUGACAAGUAGUUUCACGUAUGUAUAAAUUCAUAUUGCCGUUCUGUUAUUUGAGAGCGGCGCAAAGGUGGCAGCACAUGAAGCAUGGAGCUACGGAACCCGCUAAUGUUCUAAUGAUGAUCGCGAAGAGGAAUCGUGUGUUUCGCGGUUAAUUAGAUAAAUGGGAUGAAAUAAAUUUUGUGUUCGUCAUCCAGUAGGCAGACUGGUUUGAAACUCUUAAACUUUUCCAGAUAUUCAGUAUGGGCUGUGGUAUGGACAGGAAGGGUUGGGAUAUCCUGCACCAUUGAUUCUGCUAGAAUGCUACACUAUAAAUUUUUGUGCACUAGAAAGUGAUUUCACUACAACUGAACAGAUUCGCAGUUCCAUGUAGAUCAGAUUCUGCAGCACAAUCACUCCCACAACCUCCUUAUCAUUACACACCAUUCCAGGUGGGUGCUGCAGUAAAUACCUGGCAACAGCAGCAUUUAUUGACGAAAUUGACAAACUUUUUGAGAGUUUAAAUGGUGGAAUGCCUUUUGACCCUAAGAAAACACUGUGUUGCCCACUAAGCGAUAACAGUCCCAAUAUAGAGCACUGGGAAAAGGCAAGUAUGGGUUUAAACAGUUGGAUCAUCCUCAAGGAUGGUAAACCCGCCUUUCUUCAUCCUCCUUUGCAGAAUGGGUGGCUGAUUGACAUUACUGUUGCCCAGCGUGUGUGGAAGACAGUGAAAGAGGCUUACCACUACCUUACUUUUGCUGUUUGAAGCGAACUGUGUUGUCAUUGGCCCAAAUUCUGCAACUUCUACAGUGAUUGCAUUCGGUCUAGAUGAUCACGUGGUUUGGUGAUUGGCCUUUCGUGACAUCUGUCAUCUGGAUUAUGACACUAUCUGCUAAUGGAGGCAGGUUUUGAACUGCUUUUGUAUAUUGCUAAGGUACAUUAGGUCUCAGCUGAUUAGCCUGGAUAGCUACACUGUGUUCAGGCUAGUUGUCAUGUGCAGCAAUGAGCAGGCUAAAUUAUUCUUCAGGAAUAUACACUCAACUCUCGAUUAUCCGGGGGCUUUUUGAGGCUUGUAUGUUGUUUAAUAUUCAUUCACUUUUGU